rnacentral:rRNA from 1 species
AGAGUUUGAUCCUGGCUCAGAAUGAACGCUGGCGGCGUGCUUAACACAUGCAAGUCGAACGGUAACAGGAGAAGCUUGCUUCUUGCUGACGAGUGGCGCACGGGUGAGUAAUGCAUAGGUAACGCGCCCCUUAGUCUGGGAUAGCCACUGGAAACGGUGAAUAAUACCGGAUACUCCUUCUCACUUAAUGUGAGUCGGGAAAGUUUUUCGCUAAGGGAUCGGCCUAUGUCCUAUCAGGUAGUUGGUGAGGUAAAAGCUCACCAGGCCUAUGACGGGUAGCGGGUCUGAGAGGAUGAUCCGCCACACUGGUACUGAGACACGGACCAGACUCCUACGGGAGGCAGCAGUGGGGAAUAUUGCACAAUGGACGAAAGUCUGAUGCAGCAACGCCGCGUGGAGGAUGACACAUUUCGGUGCGUAAACUCCUUUUAUAUGAGAAGAUAAUGACGGUAUCAUAUGAAUAAGCACCUGCUAACUCCGUGCCAGCAGCCGCGGUAAUACGGAGGGUGCAAGCGUUAUUCGGAAUCACUGGGCGUAAAGGGUGCGUAGGCGGUUUGGAAAGUCAGGUGUGAAAUCCUACAGCUUAACUGUAGAACUGCACUUGAAACUUCCAGACUAGAAUACUGAAGGGGCAGAUGGAAUUAGUGGUGUAGGGGUAAAAUCCGUAGAUAUCACUAGGAAUACCGAAAGCGAAAGCGAUCUGCUGGGAAGUUAUUGACGCUGAGGCACGAAAGCGUGGGGAGCAAGCGGGAUUAGAUACCCCGGUAGUCCACGCCCUAAACGAUGAAUGCUAGUCGUCGGAAAGCUCGUCUUUUCGGUGAUGCAGUUAACACAUUAAGCAUUCCGCCUGGGGAGUACGGUCGCAAGAUUAAAACUCAAAGGAAUAGACGGGGACCCGCACAAGUGGUGGAGCAUGUGGUUUAAUUCGAAAAUACGCGAAGAACCUUACCUAGCCUUGACAUUGAUAGAAUCUGAUAGAGAUAUCGGAGUGCCUGCUUGCAGGAACUUGAAAACAGGUGCUGCACGGCUGUCGUCAGCUCGUGUCGUGAGAUGUUGGGGUUAAGUCCCGCAACGAGCGCAACCCUCGUCGUUAGUUGCUAACAGUUCGGCUGAGCACUCUAGCGAGACUGCCUUCGCAAGGAGGAGGAAGGUGAGGACGACGUCAAGUCACCAUGGCCCUUAUGGCUAGGGCUACACACGUGCUACAAUGGGGCGUAUAGAGAGUUGCGAUACCGCGAGGUGGAGCCAAUCUCUUAAAGCGUCUCUCAGUUCGGAUUGUUCUCUGCAACUCGAGAACAUGAAGCUGGAAUCACUAGUAAUCGUAGAUCAGCAAUGCUACGGUGAAUACGUUCCCCGGUCUUGUACUCACCGCCCGUCACACCAUGGGAGUUGAUUUCACCCGAAAUCGGGAAGCGAACCUUCGGGGCGCUACCGCUUACGGUGGAAUUAGCGACUGGGGUGAAGUCGUAACAAGGUA